UUAUCCUGGGUCCGGGAGAAACCGGGGGGGGUGGUUUAAACCCGCCAAUUGAAAGAAAACAUUUUAUCACGAUGCGUUUGGUCAAAUCUUUAAAUAUCUUAGUGGCGGACGGGUGAGUAACGCGUGGGUAACCUGCCUUACACAGGGGGAUAACAGUUAGAAAUGACUGCUAAUACCGCAUAAGCGCACAGUAUCGCAUGAUACAGUGUGAAAAGAUUUAUCGGUGUAAGAUGGACCCGCGUCUGAUUAGCUAGUUGGUGAGGUAACGGCCCACCAAGGCGACGAUCAGUAGCCGGCCUGAGAGGGUGACCGGCCACAUUGGGACUGAGACACGGCCCAAACUCCUACGGGAGGCAGCAGUAGGGAAUAUUGGACAAUGGGGGCAACCCUGAUCCAGCGACGCCGCGUGAGUGAAGAAGUAUUUCGGUACGUAAAGCUCUAUCAGCAGGGAAGAAAAUGACGGUACCUGACUAAGAAGCACCGGCUAAAUACGUGCCAGCAGCCGCGGUAAUACGUAUGGUGCAAGCGUUAUUCGGAUUUACUGGGUGUAAAGGGAGCGUAGACGGCAUAGCAAGUCUGAAGUGAAAUGCGGGGGCUCAACCCCUGAACUGCUUUGGAAACUGUUAAGCUAGAGUGUCGGAGAGGUUAGUGGAAUUCCUAGUGUAGCGGUGAAAUGCGUAGAUAUUAGGAGGAACACCGGUGGCGAAGGCGGCUAACUGGACGAUAACUGACGUUGAGGCUCGAAAGCGUGGGGAGCAAACAGGAUUAGAUACCCUGGUAGUCCACGCUGUAAACGAUGAUUACUAGGUGUUGGGUACCAAUACGUCUUCGGUGCCGUCGUAAACGCAUUAAGUAAUCCACCGGGGGAGUACUUUCGCAAAAAUGAAACUCAAAGGAAUUGACGGGAACCCGCCCAAGCGGGGAAGCAUGGGGUUUAAUUCGAAGCACCGCGAAAAACCUUACCAAAUCUUGACUUCCCGAUGACCGCACAUGUAAGGUGUGUUCCCUUCGGAGCAUUGAAAACAGGGGGGGCAUGGUUGUCGUCAGCUCGGGUCGGGAAAUGUUGGGUUAAGUCCCGCAACGAGCGCAACCCUUGCCUUUAGUAGCCAGCAUUAAGAUGGGCACUCUAGAGGGACUGCCCGGGAUAACCUGGAGGAAGGUGGGGAUGACGUCAAAUCAUCAUGCCCCUUAUGAUUUGGGCUACACACGUGCUACAAUGGCGUAAACAAAGAGAAGCGAAAGGGUGACAUUAAGCAAAUCUCAAAAAUAACGUCUCAGUUCGGAUUGUAGUCUGCAACUCGACUACAUGAAGCUGGAAUCGCUAGUAAUCGCGAAUCAGCAUGUCGCGGUGAAUACGUUCCCGGGUCUUGUACACACCGCCCGUCACACCAUGGGAGUUGGUAAUGCCCGAAGUCUGUGACCUAACCGAAAGGAAGGAGCAGCCGAAGGCAGGACUGAUAACUGGGGUGAAGU
rnacentral:rRNA from 1 species